GGCCCGCUCUCAGCCGUGCCCUAGCAGCGGGAACAGUACUGCAGUGAAUACUAGUCUGGAGUAUUGUUGCUGCUGCCCUGGCAAGGCCGGGACUUCGCACGGGC
rnacentral:miRNA from 1 species